rnacentral:rRNA from 1 species
UACGUAGGAUGCAAGCGUUGUCCGGAAUUAUUGGGCGUAAAGAGCGCGCAGGCGGUCUAUCAAGUCAGAUGUGAAAUAUCCCGGCUUAACCGGGAGGGGUCAUUUGAAACUGGUAGACUAGAGUACAGCAGAGGAUAGUGGAAUUCCCGGUGUAGUGGUGAAAUGCGUAGAUAUCAAGAGGAACACCUGAGGUGAAGACGGGUUGCUGGGCUGACACUGACGCUGAGGCGCGAAAGCCAGGGGAGCAAACGGG